rnacentral:rRNA from 1 species
AUGAACACCUACGGGUUCCGCCUCCUUGACUUCACCCCCAAUGCUGUUCUGACCAUGGCAGUUUUCGCACAUCUCUGCGAAAACUUUGUCGGAGUCCAUCCAAAUGUAGCUCUUUUUUGCCACUUCUUUAUGCCCCGAGUUGAGAGAGGGGAGCCUUUAUCCGGCGGAAUCGCCUGGAUCUCGAGAGCUGGCAAGAAGGAAGCUUAUCUGGAGGGAGAGCUCCGCAGCAAGUGGGAGGGAUGGAGAGCAGAAUGGUGCUGGAUUGUCGAGGAGAACCCGCAGCCAUUUACCGCCCAGCGCCAAGCCCCAAUAGCGCGCGACAAUGAUUGGAGCAACGUGGCCCCAGAAGACGAUAGGCUGAAGAUUGCCGUCACCCGGAUCCUACGCCUUAGGCUUGCCGGGCUCACCGUAGGCGUCGUUGGCGCAGAUUUUCUUCGCCGCCACAUCGCCCCCCUGCAGGAGAGGAGGAGACCCGCCUGGGAGUUCCAGAACGUGGCGGAUGUCAUGAGGUUGCGCCCGGGCCUCAACUUCAACUUCACUGUCCUGGAACUGGACGUGAUGAUCCUGGAACUGUUCAAGCGCGAUCCUCAGCAUCCCGAAGCGUUCAUGUUGCCGAGGGGUGUUGUUCCGCUGUGCAACAACUCCUCGCUCGACCGCAUCCGUGCAAUGAUGCCGCUGUGCGAUUCACAUGGAAUUGUCCCAACUUGGCAAGAGCCUGCAGACGACGUCGUGCGGGAUUUCUUUGACGGCUUGGUAGAAGUGUCGGUCCGCUCCGAUGAACAGAAGAGCCUUACUCGCGACACCACGGAUGCGGAGAUGCAGCGCAUCGCUACUAGGCUGGAAGAGGCGGCGGCAGCCGCUGCCACGGGCGAGUUUGGAUUCACCGUGAAGGAGGCCGAGGCAGCAGAGGCGGCAAGCCUUGCCGAGCGAGAGGAGCUUGCCGGCGAGGGAGAGCUUGUUGGGCCUGAAGCUGAGUCGAGCGAGCCCGGCGAGGGAGAGCUUGUCGGGCCCGAACCUUCAGACAGCUCGCCGCAAGCGGAGGCCCCAGCUUCGCCAAGAAGGCGUCUCCGCAAGGCCGUGGACGUAGCGGGGCGGCAGAUGAGUCAACAGCCGCCGUGCCGCGCGACACGCUCUACCGCGACAAGCACUGUUGCCGCGGGAGCGCCUCACGCCGCCGCGGCAACUGGAGCGGGGUCUUCCCGGUCCACCGCUACUACUCCUGCCAAGCGGACAAGGGAACCUACUCCUCCGCCUCAUCGCAUCGGAGGCGAGCUGGACUUCGAUCUCUCCGCGCUCAGCUCCGACGAGGAAGAAGAAGAGACUCUGGCCCAGAGAGCGGCAAAGAGAGCCAAGGUCCCGGUGAUUGUCAUCGAGGACGAACCCACCGCGAUAGCAGGGGGUGUGUCCGAGACCACCUUGCCGGGCCCGGCAACCAUUCCUCAAAGUAGCCCCCAGUGCAGCCCCCAGCGAGCAGAGCAGCCGCACCAGGAGUGCCCGGAAGCCGCUCCCGAAAUGCCAUCUGCUUCGACUACAUCGCCAAGGGAGGAUUCCCCGGCAAGGGAGCGUUCUCCGGCAAGGGAGAAUUCUCCGGCAAGGGACAGUUCUCCGGCAAGGGACAGCACUAGCGACCCUCCGGUGGUUGAGACCAUGAAUGCAGAUCCUAGUAUAGAUCCAUCUGCCACGGAGCCAAUGGAAACCGAGGUCGCCGGCGAGGAGAACGCGCGCAGCAAUACCGACGCCGCCGUUGCCACUGAAGGAGAAGCCGGCGCUGAUGAUCCCGCCGGCGAAGAGGCCGCCAUAAGCUGCCGCCGCAGAAGCAGGAGCGUCAGGCGCUACGCCGACCGCCGAUCCCUCCGCCGCUGCUGCAGCGCCAGGCUCCGAAGAGCCCCAGCCCGGCGCCUAUUUGAAGGCCGGCGAUGGCAUCUUCAUCAAGCUCCCCUGGGCGUCAAGCUCCAGGGCGCCGGUCGAAGGAGAGAUCUUGGAUGGAGAGGUGCUCGCCUCUGCUGGGCUGACGCUGGUCGACGCGCCAAGCAGCAGCAGCGACGAGCCUGA